GAUGAACGCUGGCGGUAUGCUUAACACAUGCAAGUCGAACGGACUCUUCGGAGUUAGUGGCGGACGGGUGAGUAACGCGUGAGAAUCUGGCUUUGGGUUCGGGACAACCACUGGAAACGGUGGCUAAUACCGGAUGUGCCGAGAGGUAAAAGAGAAAUUGCCUGAAGAUGAGCUCGCGUCUGAUUAGCUAGUUGGUGAGGUAAAGGCUCACCAAGGCAGCGAUCAGUAGCUGGUCUGAGAGGAUGACCAGCCACACUGGGACUGAGACACGGCCCAGACUCCUACGGGAGGCAGCAGUGGGGAAUUCUCCGCAAUGGGCGAAAGCCUGACGGAGCAAUACCGCGUGAGGGAAGAAGGCUCUUGGGUUGUAAACCUCUUUUCUUAGGGAAGAACAAAAUGACGGUACCUAAGGAAUCAGCAUCGGCUAACUCCGUG
rnacentral:rRNA from 1 species